rnacentral:tRNA from 1 species
AACAGAAUGGCUGAGGUUAGGCGGUAAGCUGUAAACUUACAUACGUGAAUCUUCUGUUA